CCAUGAGCAGUGUAGGGAAUUAGAUGAAAGUAGUGACUAUCUGUUAGUAUCACACAAGAAUUUCCACAGGAACAUUGCCAUUUUCUUGUCGAGGCCAGCGACUCUGAGCAGAAAGAUGUCCUCCCUUCUUAGGAGAACCACACUGACCUGCUCCAGGUUGAUGAAAACCAUUCAGCAAAAUCACAGAUCAACCAUCUACAGCAAGCCACCAAAGGAGGAGAUUGGGCCAGUGCAAUCUUUGUUUGCCUUGUGUGCGUUUGCUGUGACUCUCUUGGGCCCGGCUGGAUGGAUCAUGCAUCACCUCCCAGAAUACCGGCGGAGAUCACCUCCACAACCCUGACUUCUGCAAGAACUCUGCAUUCUCGCGCAUACACUUAAUAUAUGUGGAUUUUCUCAAUGUGUAAAAUGAAGCUUGAUGAUGUAACUGUUUCCCUGUAUAAAAGGACUUUGAUGUGA